AUUGUUGGCCCUGGUGAGAUCAGUGUUAACAAGCCUGCUGGCCUGAGGAAAGAAACUCUGUCUCAGUCUUUCUGUUUUGGCUGCGUGACUGCAGAGGCGCUUGCCUGACCGCAACAGCUGGAGCAGUCCGUUGUUGGGGUGGUGAGGAUCCUUCAUGAUCCUACAGGCCCUGUUUCUGCACCUCUUGGUGUGCAAGUCCUGCAGGGAGGGGAGUGUAGUCCCUGGUGGUCAGGAAGUACAAGAUCCGAGCAGACAGGGGGGUGUUCAGUCCCAGUUCAAUCAGCUUACCAGAAAGUCUGGUGGGGACAACGGUGUUGAAAGCUGAACUGUAAUCGAUGAACAGCAGUCUCACAUAGCCCCCCUUCUGACUGUCAAGUGUGCACUAAAGAAGUCCUGCUGGUGGAAAAUGACUUUGCGAGGGCAUUUGAGAGACUGCUGGACGCAGAACAAUAAUUCGGCCCAUAGAUUAAACCAAUGUUCACCGGUAUUUAACCAACUCCACAGGUAUUAAUUACAGCCCCAAAUACAUGUCAAUCAGUAUUUAAGGUACCUUGCAGACAAUCAUUACAAAGCUUAGCUCAAUGCAAAAUCAAUAAUCACACAAAUAAAGGUUUAGGAAAAAAAGUAGUUAUGACAUCCAGAACAGUCAAAAAUCUUGUAAAAGAACAUCUGUAGAAUAUUUAUAACCAACUGGUUGUCAUUUGAAUAUUAAUUAUAGAGCCUCCAUGAGGCGUGUGAGAGCCUUUUUAACAAGAUCCCUUAUUUACUGGAUGAUGAUUGUGUAAAAGUGUGUUAAAAAGAAAACCCACCAGAAUAACAGGUUUAUCUCUCUGGGCUUUAAACUGCCAAAUAUAUUGAGGUCUGGUUUUGGUGUUGGUAACAUACAGUGAUGUGAGAGGAGGAAUAGGUCGAGGGAGGAGCAACACUGUCAGAGCAGAGCAGAACAGAAAAGGACUCCUACUGUCAGAUGCAUUCAAUAUCUAAACCAGACAGGACACAGAUACUGUCUUUAAGAUGAUGUCACUGCAUUACUGUGUCAUUUUCCAGCUUCUUCUGACCAUACUAAAAGGUGUCAGCUGUGAAGAACUCACUCCAGAUAACGAUGAAGAGUUCAGUUUAGAAGGCAGCACUGUUACUCUGUCCUACACAUACUCCAAAAAAGCAACUGGUGGUGAUCAUUUCUUCUGGUAUGGACCAUAUCACGGAAAACCACCAACGUUCCUCCUGUACAUCUCAGGGCUCAACUUUACAAGACCAGCAGAGUCUCUAAAAUCAGACACAAGGUUCUCUACUAAACUGUCUGGAGAAAAACAUCUAGAUCUGCAGAUCUCCUCUGCUGCAGUGACAGACUCUGCUGUGUACUACUGUGCUCUGCGGCCCACAGUGACAGGAAACACCAAGACUCUGUACAAAAACCUUUGGAGCAAAGACAACAGAAUACUCCACAACGUCCACUAGCGGGAGUCACACACUGUUAACCUUCAGUGAUAUGUUGUGAUACAGUCUAGAAUCAUGGAUGCCUCCUCCACUAGAUGUUCCCUCAGUUAUAUAUACAGCCUUUAUUUAAUCAGGUCGUCUCACUGAGAUCAGACAGACCUGAGUACAGCAGGUAGAGAGAAACAAAAGCUAAAGGACAUACAGCAGCAGAGACAGUCGCAGAUCUGAA